UUCUACACUUAUGUUGGCAAAUGAGCAUUUCUAGAUCAAGUCGUACCUCUUAACAAUACAGGGGACCCACCGAAAAAGGGCCCCGCACCUCAGGUGUUUUACAGGCCGUAGUCACUGUUUCACGCGUCGAUUAAGCUGUCAAAGAAGUUCAUCGAGCGGAAAGGGGCAAAACUAGUCCAACCCGUCUCUCGCCGAAUCCCUUAUCGUCGCGCGUCAAAGACCUUCCUGAUCUCCUCGGAGCCAUCUCUCGGAGGGAGGAGGAUAGGGGGGGUCUUCUUUUCCUUCCCCCAACAGAAGUCUGUGUCUGUUACCAAGAUGUUCCGAUCAUCGAGCGCUACGAGGAUGUCGGACGAGCACCUCCUACCGCCGGCGGCUCGGAGAUCGUUACUGGAGCCGGAUGGCCUUCCCUCGUACGACCCCCACUCCGACAUCAGUAAGAAGCUGGUGCAGCGGGCGAGGCUUUCCGAGAACGCCGUGCACGUUAUCCCCGUCGUAGUCGUCCUCUGCGCCAUCAUCCUCUGGUUCUUCUCCGCCCACGAAUCGAGAAUAUGAACGGCGAGGACUGCUGCUAUUCGGAUGUGUGAUCCCUGGAAAUCGGACAAAGAAAAUUAGGCAGACGAUUUGGUGGCUUCCAAGUAAACUAAAGAAGACUUGAAAGAUUAGGAUAUGUUCCAUCCUUCAGAAGAAGAAGAAGAUUAGUCAUUAGUUUGCUUCCUAUACAGAAUCCUCUGAAUAAAUUCCACGUAUUGGACACCCUUCAACUAAUGAGGAUUUAGUUCUUGUGGAACUUACUUUGUAAAUACUUUAGAGGAAUACAGAACCCCAUUUUGUUUUC